CCUACGGGAGACAGCAGUGAGGAAUAUUGGUCAAUGGGCGGGAGCCUGAACCAGCCAAGUCGCGUGAGGGAAGACGGUCCUAUGGAUUGUAAACCUCUUUAGGCGGGGAGCAAUGCCGGGCACGCGUGCCCGGAGGGAGAGUACCCGCAGAAUAAGCAUCGGCUAACUCCGUGCCAGCAGCCGCGGUACUACGGAGGAUGCGAGCGUUCUCCGGAUUUAUUGGGUUUAAAGGGUGCGUAGGCGGAGUUUUAAGUCAGCGGUAAAAUGUCCGGGCUCAACCCGGGCCGGCCGUUGAAACUGGGGAGCUUGAGUGGGCGAGAAGUAUGCGGAAUGCGUGGUGUAGCGGUGAAAUGCAUAGAUAUCACGCAGAACUCCGAUUGCGAAGGCAGCAUACCGGCGCCCGACUGACGCUGAGGCACGAAAGCGUGGGGAUCGAACAGGAUUAGAUACCCCAGUAGUC
rnacentral:rRNA from 1 species